GCUCUUCUAAAGGACCUGGGUUCAAUUCCCAGCAUCCACAUGACAGCUCAUAGCUGUCUGUAACUCCAGUUCCAAGAAAUUCAACUCCUUCACACAGGCAUACGUGCAAACAAUAUACCCAUGCACAUAAAAUUCUCAUUCUUUUAAAAUAUAUACUCUUUUUAAAGUUUUCAUUUAUUUUCAUUUUAUGUGCAUGGGUAUAUUGUUUGCACGUAUGCCUCUGUGAAGGAGUUGAAUUUCUUGGAACUGGAGUUACAGACAGCUAUGAGCUGUCAUGUGGAUGCUGGGAAUUGAACCCAGGUCCUUUAGAAGAGCAGUCAGUGCUCUUAACCUCUGAGCCAUUUCUCCAGUCCCAACUUCUCACUCUUUGCCUUUAAGAGUUCUCUUCUGUCUUAGCUUCUUUGAACUCAGC
rnacentral:lncRNA from 1 species